rnacentral:rRNA from 1 species
GCUACGGGUGGCUGCAGUGAGGAAUAUUGGUCAAUGGGCGGAAGCCUGAACCAGCCAAGUAGCGUGCAGGAUGACGGCCCUACGGGUUGUAAACUGCUUUUAUACGGGAAUAAAGCGCCUUACGUGUAGGGCUUUGCAUGUACCGUAUGAAUAAGGACCGGCUAAUUCCGGGCCAGCAGCCGCGGUAAUACGGAAGGUCCGGGCGUUAUCCGGAUUUAUUGGGGUUCAAGGGAGCGUAGGCGGCAUGUCAAGCGUGCUGUGCAAUGUCCGGGCUCAACCCGGGCCUUGCAGCGCGAACUGGCGUGCUUUAGUCCGCGUACAGCAGGCGGACUUCGUCGUGUAGCGGU